rnacentral:rRNA from 1 species
AUGGAAAACAUGGAUGAGCAUGACAGUGACGCUAAUAUGCCAUUAGGGAUAGAUUCUGAUGGAGCUGCUGCCUCCAGAUUCAGGAAGAAGAGGUCUAAGGUGUGGGAAGAGUACAAGCCUAUAUAUAUAAAUGGAGUGAUCCAGAGUGCGGAAUGCCACUACUGCCAUACUCUCAUGAGCUGCAAAGGUGCUGAUGGACGUUCCAACGGAACGAGCCAUUUAUGGCGACAUCAUAAUAAUUGUCGAGCAAAAGAGGGAUUUGACCUGAGUGAGCUGCAUGAUACAGACUUCCCUUAUGGUGUGAAUGACAUUGAUCCACUGAACCAGAUUCUUCCAGAGCCACUUGAUGACAUGAACUUGGUAAAUCAUAGUGAGAACGACAGAUUGAGAUCGAAGGUAUGGAUGGACUUUACACCUGUCUAUGUUGAGGGGAGAAUCCAGGGUGCUGACUGUGUCCAUUGCCACACACGACUUAGUGCAGAAAAAAGUACAGGCGAUUUAAACCAGCACACUCAGACUUGUUCAGCACGGGCUGGAACUAGUGUAAAUCAUCAGAAAGGUGGGCUUUUCUCGUCCAGUGUACCAAUUUUUAAAUCUAGGGUGAAGGAUGAACUUUUACCUGCCUUGACAAAUGGUAAAGUUCAGAUUGCAGAAUAUGCUAGCAGGUUCCACUUGGGUUAUAAUUCUGGUGACAGAACUUGUCAAAAUCAGCACAUUCUGGCUUUCCCAGCAGACAACAUGAUCCCAAUGGAACAAGAUAAGUCGUCUGCUCGUACUCCAGAUAUCAAGAUCAGGAAAUUUGAUCAAGAAGCAUCUUAUCUAGAGCUAACUAGGAUGAUAAUAAUGCAUGGCUAUCCCCUGUCAGUUGUGGAGCAUGAAGAAAUGAAAAGAUUUGCGAAGGGCCUUAACCCUGUGUUUAACAUGGCUUCAAGCCUAGAUAUGGAAGAAUAUUCAACUCUGCUGUUUCAGAAAGAGAAGUCUGACCUUAAGGAGAAAAUUGCACUUUCGUCAAGGCGAGUUUCGUUAUCAGCAAGUGUGUGGGUCCCUCAUGGAGCUGAGCCCACAAUAAAGUACCUGUGUUUGACCGCGCAUUUUAUUGAUUCUGAAUGGAAGCUUCAAAGGAGAAUAAUCAAGUUUGGUGUGCUUUGGUCCUCACCUUCUAAUUUGGAAAGGAUGAUACACUGUAAGGAAGCUUGUGUGCUAGAAUCUGAGGUUGGGGCGUAUAAUGUCAUAUUGGAAGCUAUAAGAGAGUGGAAUAUUGACAGGAAGCUUUUCUGCUUGACAUCUGUAAGCGAAAUAAGAAACAGUGGAAGUAUCUCAAAGCUGAAGGACAUGCUUAUACAGAGGAACUGUCUUCCUAUUAGAGGUGAGCUAUACAAUAUUGCUUGUGUGGAUGAUAUGCUUGACAGCGUUCUUUCGAAAGGGCAAUCAUUGCUUUACCGUGUCGGUGAUCUGCUAGAGAGAUUUAUUCAAGCAUGUGCAUCUUCAUCGCUGACUCAGCAGCAACUUUUGGAAGUUGCUAACGAUGUUGGUAUGAAGUGCCCCCAUGAAGAUGCAAAGUGGUGGCAUAAAAUUUACUUUAGACUUGAGGUGCUUUUGCAUUUCAAGAAGUUACUUCCCUCUGAAGAAUUUGUAUCUGUGGAAGAAAUGAAAAUUGUUGAGCCUAUCUAUAAGAUUUUGAGGGUUUUCUAUCGAGUCGUUGAAGUAAUGUCUGGGCCUGUUUGCCUGACAGCAAAUCUGUACUUCCAUGAAGUAUGGAAAGUUAGGACGAUUUUGCAAGAAGAAGCAUGUAAUGAACACUCCGACGUUGCUAGCAUGAUUAGAGAGAUGCAGGAAGCAUUCAAUGAAUAUUGGGCAAAGUCAUACUUGUGGUUGUCAGUGCCUGUUGUUCUUGAUCCGAGAUUCAAAAUUACUUUUAUCGAGUUCCGUCUUAAACGAGCUUUUGGCACUGAUGCAACAAAGUAUGUAAAUGAUGUAGCUGAAAUAGUGAGGGAAUUGUUUCAUGAAUAUUGCACCCCUGUGGAUCAGCCGAAUGUUAAGACUUCAAAUUGCGAAGUUCACAAUGUUGAAAUAGAUGGAUUUGACAGUGAUUUAUUGGAAGAUUGGGAUCAGCAUCUUACUGCACAGACAAGGAGUCAACUAUUGUCGGAGCUUGACAGCUAUCUUGAAGAUGGUCUUCUUCCACGGAAGGAUGAUUUUGAUAUUCUAAACUGGUGGAUGAGUCAUUCUUCAAAGUAUCCAACCCUCUCAAAAAUGGUGCAGGAUGUCUUGGCAAUGCCAUCAUCCGCUGUUCACUGCCAGGCAGCAUUCAGCAGUGAGAGCCCAGUAAUUCAUAAGCAAUGGAGCACAUUAAACAUCAAGACAAUUGAAGCACUUGUGUGUACCCGAGAUUGGAUUAGCUAG